CGAGGCGGGCGGGCAGUAUCUCUCCCUUGCCUUUUAAAAAAAAUACCUCCCUCCCUGUUAAAAAAAAAAAUAAAAACAGAAACACGCUCUUUCCUUUCCUUAAGGCCGGAGGAGAAAGCUCCGCUUCAGCUUCCUUGCCCCAAGCAUCCAUCCUCGCCCCAGGGGCCCCUCAUUGUCCCGAACGUCCCUCUUACACCCAACACGCCUUCGUUGCCAGCGAUUUCAAGCACUUGGUUUGCAUGUUUACUGUGCUAAAAACAGUUACGAGCAAUCUGGAUAGCCCUCUGUUAGCUGUGAUGAAAACAUUCUCCAGUAUAUCUGACAGUGCCUGCCACUGAAAAGGCCCAAGAAAUACUCCAGCUCGAUGGGGAAUGAUCCUAGCUUUCUACAAACGACACACUGAAGACCUGACGCUGCCUUUCACCUGGGGCCAGUGCUGUGGCAUCAUCCCUGGUGAGGAUUUGGGCUUGUUCAUGUUCUGACGGACAGGACACACGUACUGAUGCUUGUGGACACAAGUGAGGCAUGUUUGAAUGGGAGAGAAGUUACACAACCCCUUGAACAUGGCAAGAACAAAGUUAACACCCUCCCAGGCAUGCUGGAGCUGGAGAACCACAAUCAGAAAUGUGAGGAAGAGAGAAGGCACAGCUGGGCCUCAGGAUGUCCUCCUCGCUCCUUGGCCCUCUCUAUAGACAUUUUAUUUUUCUGCAACAAGUCACAGAGCCAAAGCAAGAUGCUGCAGAAUUCUGCAUCCCCUGUCCCCAGCUGCUGCUUUAAAUAUAUCCCUGCCAAGUGGCACAUUGCUGGGCCAUGGUCACUUGGGCCAGCAGGACUGGCUUCCCUGGGGACCUUGGAGGGACAUGGGACAAAUGCAAGUCCCAGAACUGUUUACCUUUCUUUCCCUGGGCAAAUCCCUGCUUGGGCACUCUGGGUCUCACAGCUUGUGUGCCACUUGAUCUCCCACUGUGCCUCUGAAAUGUGGGGUCAAAGCUGACAAUUAGUUUCCAGAAACAAAAAAGAGAAAGUGAAUCUUCAAUAACCUCUGAUUUUGAAUCUUCUAAUUAUCUAUCCAGCUCAGUAGGAGAGGAACAACAUGUUUGUCCUUCCUACACCAAGUAUUCCUUGUAAAUCUAAACAACAAAAAAAAAAAAUCAAGAAAAAUCCCACUAAUUAUUUAAAGAAAAAGAGAUACCAAUUAGUCACAAUAAUUAUUAUUUAGAUAUAGAUUAUCUUCAGAAACACAGGACACUGUUAUUUUGUUACUGCAGCAUCACUGAAAAAUGUCUUUCAUUCAAAUUGCAAGAUUGAGCAUAAUUUCCAUGUUAUUUUUCUGUGAACACAGGGCUCCAUAUAUUAUUUGUGAUGUUCCUAAUUUUUAAUUAC
rnacentral:lncRNA from 1 species